CCUUACUGGAAGCAGGAAUGUCCACAGAGGAGAGAGAGGUAGAGAAAGAAGGAAAAAUAAGUAAACACUUAGUAAACGGAUAAACAAAUACGAGUUCUCUAAAAGUCUUACCUUAUCUUCACACGUUUUAAUGUAGUGAAGAGAUUAGUUUAAAAUUGGCUUCAAAAAUUAGUUUCCUUAUAACAAAAUAAAAUUGUGAGUAGACUAUGAGAGUAUAUACAUUUUUAUUGUGAUGUUCAAAAUUAGGAUGUUAACAACCUGCCUUCGUUUUAAAACGUACGCCAACUUUAUUUAGAUUUUCAAACACAUUGCACACUCUUACCAAAGCCUAUCAUCUUUACAAAGCUCCUUUAUGUUCUUUUGUCACAAAAUGGGAUAUGUGUAAAUACUAACAAAAAUCCGCCCUCAGUCUCAUAGAAAUCUUUAAAUUAACGAGUCUCAGAUUUGUCUGCAGACUAAAAUCAAGCAGAGGUCUUUUAAAAAUUUAAAUCCCCAGACCCCACACCAAUUAAAUCCCAUCUGUCAGGAUGGGAAGAGACAGCAGGAUUUUGGGAGUCAUUCCAAAUGUGCAGAAUAGUUGGGGAACCACAGAUUUAACUGAUGAACUAGAGACACAGUAGAAGUUCUAUUUCUAUUUCUACUAGAACUCUGGAUUAUUUGAGCAGAACACCAAUGGAAUGUAAAAUUCUGUAAGUGGGUAACCAUCGCUGACUAGUAUCAUCAAAACAAAAAAAAAAGUGAAUCUUUGAUGCCAUAGCAAAUUUCCUCAAAUGCUGUGUCCAUGAAACUUACGACAGAUAAAGUGACGCUAUGUGAUGGGUGACAAAUAAGUUUUCAUUCUACUUCUAGGAGAAUCUGCUGUCAGGAUAAAACCAGAUUCUUCCAGUGAAUGCAAAUCUAAAGAGCUUCCUUUCCUGUCUUUCUGUUGCCGUGAAGAGGAUCCAACAGAAUGGUCACCUACAUUGUAACCACACCCUUGUAAGAGGCAUGUAACAAAUAAUUCUGAGAGUCAUAUUAAUAGCAGGGAAACAAGAUGUCUGCCAAUAUUCUCACAGGAAGCUAGUGGUGAAAGACGGAAUAGAAGCCAGGCUUUCAGGGCACUGGCUAGGCAUUCUGUGUGGUCUCCCACACUGUUUCUCUUUUGAACUUUUCAAUUCCAAAGCAAAAAUACCAUAGCUAUAAUGCCACCAAGGACGUUGGCAUUAUACAACAACAGACAGUCCCUUUGGUCCUUUUCUGACCCUACCUAAACAACCACCGUCUCACAGGGUGUGGUGGGUUUCAUGAGGACGUAAUAAAGUAACACUGGUAAUAAUCCCCCCUAAGUUUUGUGACUGAGCCCGUGUUGUCUUGAAUGACACAUACCAUGGCCAUCAUCCAGGAAUUCUGUGAUGGUGGCUGAAGUGCACUUGGACCAGGGUUUGGACGCGUCGAUGCUGGUUAGGAUGGAAGACAUUAAGCGCUUAUCUUCUGUGGAACCAAAGUUCUCUUCACAGAAUUUGGAAUCAUCAUGGGAGAGGCCAAGUAGAUGUCCUAAGGGAGAGAAGAGCGGGAGCACAGAUAAUGAGUGAUUUUGCAUUUCAACUUUUCCGUGACAAUUAUACUAGCACUUGGUCUCCCUCCCCUGCCCCCAACUGUACAUGAGUUCAUUUUAACUGCUUUCUCAUGCACAGACUGGACCCCCAGGGAAAUUAAAGCUGUGUGUAGUCAGAGCAGUCACUUUUGGUGAACAUUUAGAGGAAAACUGAAAAAUUACACAAAGGAAUAGACGGUCCCAUAAUCCAUCUGGAUCACACAUGCUCAACGACAUGUAGAAACAGGCCUUAUUUAGAAUCUAGAAUUCGCAAGGCAACUGUGGGAUUAUGUCAUAGCCCUGACUACAUGUUAUUUUGAUUACUUGUCUAAUUUUCCGCCUUCUCUGAUCAACCAGGAGCCCCAUGAGAUCAGAGAACAUCUCCUCCAUCCACUGUUGAAACCUCUGUAUUUAACUCAAUGUUCUGCAAGUUGCAAACACUUAAUAGACGGUUGUUGAAUGUCAGUGACUUCUAUUUUCUUGGCCAAGUUACCAGGUAGCUAUCCAAGAGACAACAAGGAGGGGAAAGAAAGAGGAGUGAAAUUAGUAACGCUCUGGUUCCCAACAAAGCUGGGAUUAUUGAGGUGUAAGAAGAUCUUGCCAGGGGUUGAAAAGUGAGCCAACAGCUCACGUGGGAUCCAAAUCCAGAAUCCUUGAAGAAGAGAACCAGGAGCUCCAGGAAGUGGAUCCUACAUGUCUAUUCAAAUGCAAAGCCUUAUGCAGAAGGAAUAAAACCCUUACAAACUCCCAUUUCAAAACGUUAAGCAUGAAUGCUGUUACAAGUGUUUGAUUUGGCGAGGGAAGAGAAAAGGCACUGCAUACCAAUUUCGUGAGCCACGGUGAAAGCCGCAUGGAGGCCAUCAUCUUCAAUCACAGCACAGCUGCGCUCCGGGGAACAUAUGGUCCCAACGUCUGCCAUUCCCAGGGUGUCACAUGAAUGAUGCCCACAUAAAUCCUGCCGGGGAGAAAGAAAGAAAUCAUUAAAAUCAAUUUACAUCCAGAAGGA